GAUGAACGCUGGCGGCGUGCCUAAUACAUGCAAGUCGAACGCUUUGUCUUUAAUUGAUAUGAAGAGCUUGCUCUGAUUUGCUUUUAUCUGACAAAGAGUGGCGAACGGGUGAGUAACACGUGGGUAACCUACCUCUUAGCAGGGGAUAACAUUUGGAAACAAGUGCUAAUACCGUAUAACACUAACAACCGCAUGGUUGUUAGUUGAAAGAUGGUUCUGCUAUCACUAAGAGAUGGACCCGCGGUGCAUUAGCUAGUUGGUAAGGUAAUGGCUUACCAAGGCGAUGAUGCGUAGCCGAGUUGAGAGGCUGAUCGGCCACAAUGGGACUGAGACACGGCCCAUACUCCUACGGGAGGCAGCAGUAGGGAAUCUUGCACAAUGGGCGCAAGCCUGAUGGAGCAACGCCGCGUGUGUGAUGAAGGGUUUCGGCUCGUAAAGCACUGUUAUAAGGGAAGAACGACAUUGAGAGUAACUGUUCAGUGUGUGACGGUAUCUUAUCAGAAAGGAACGGCUAACUACGUG
rnacentral:rRNA from 1 species